GCCUGGGUGGCUCAGUUGGUUGAGCGUCCGACUUCAGCUCAGAUCAUCUCAUGGCUUGUGAGUUCAAGCCCCAUGUCAGGCU
rnacentral:tRNA from 1 species